CGAGGAGCUAGUAAAACAUUACCUAGCCUUGUCAGCGCUAAAUUACAGGCUUAAACCCUGUGCACCUCA
rnacentral:tRNA from 1 species